CCGGCGAGGGGAGUGAAAAAGAACCUGAAACCGUGUACGUACAAGCAGUGGGAGCACCCUUCGGGGUGUGACUGCGUACCUUUUGUAUAAUGGGUCAGCGACUUAUAUUCUGUAGCAAGGUUAACCGAAUAGGGGAGCCGAAGGGAAACCGAGUCUUAACUGGGCGUUAAGUUGCAGGGUAUAGACCCGAAACCCGGUGAUCUAGCCAUGGGCAGGUUGAAGGUUGGGUAACACUAACUGGAGGACCGAACCGACUAAUGUUGAAAAAUUAGCGGAUGACCUGUGGCUGGGGGUGAAAGGCCAAUCAAACCGGGAGAUAGCUGGUUCUCCCCGAAAGCUAUUUAGGUAGCGCCUCGUGAACUCAUCUUCGGGGGUAGAGCACUGUUUCGGCUAGGGGGUCAUCCCGACUUACCAACCCGAUGCAAACUGCGAAUACCGAAGAAUGUUAUCACGGGAGACACACGGCGGGUGCUAACGUCCGUCGUGAAGAGGGAAACAACCCAGACCGCCAGCUAAGGUCCCAAAGUCAUGGUUAAGUGGGAAACGAUGUGGGAAGGCCCAGACAGCCAGGAUGUUGGCUUAGAAGCAGCCAUCAUUUAAAGAAAGCGUAAUAGCUCACUGGUCGAGUCGGCCUGCGCGGAAGAUGUAACGGGGCUAAACCAUGCACCGAAGCUGCGGCAGCGACGCUUAUGCGUUGUUGGGUAGGGGAGCGUUCUGUAAGCCGUCGAAGGUGUGCUGUGAGGCAUGCUGGAGGUAUCAGAAGUGCGAAUGCUGACAUAAGUAACGAUAAAGCGGGUGAAAAGCCCGCUCGCCGGAAGACCAAGGGUUCCUGUCCAACGUUAAUCGGGGCAGGGUGAGUCGACCCCUAAGGCGAGGCCGAAAGGCGUAGUCGAUGGGAAACAGGUUAAUAUUCCUGUACUUGGUGUUACUGCGAAGGGGGGACGGAGAAGGCUAUGUUAGCCGGGCGACGGUUGUCCCGGUUUAAGCAUGUAGGCGGAGGUUCCAGGUAAAUCCGGUACCUUUUAACGCUGAGGUGUGAUGACGAGGCACUACGGUGCUGAAGUAACAAAUGCCCUGCUUCCAGGAAAAGCCUCUAAGCAUCAGGUAACACGAAAUCGUACCCCAAACCGACACAGGUGGUCAGGUAGAGAAUACCAAGGCGCUUGAGAGAACUCGGGUGAAGGAACUAGGCAAAAUGGUGCCGUAACUUCGGGAGAAGGCACGCUGACAUGUAGGUGAAGCCCCUGCGGGUGGAGCUGAAGUCAGUCGAAGAUACCAGCUGGCUGCAACUGUUUAUUAAAAACACAGCACUGUGCAAACACGAAAGUGGACGUAUACGGUGUGACGCCUGCCCGGUGCCGGAAGGUUAAUUGAUGGGGUUAUCCUCAGGGAGAAGCUCUUGAUCGAAGCCCCGGUAAACGGCGGCCGUAACUAUAACGGUCCUAAGGUAGCGAAAUUCCUUGUCGGGU
rnacentral:rRNA from 1 species